rnacentral:rRNA from 1 species
AAUAGAUACUCGGGUAGUCCACGCCGUAAACGAUGAGUGCUAAGUGUUAGAGGGUUUCCGCCCUUUAGUGCUGCAGCUAACGCAUUAAGCACUCCGCCUGGGGAGUACGGUCGCAAGACCGAAACUCAAAGGAAUUGACGGGGGCCCGCACAAGCGGUGGAGCAUGUGGUUUAAUUCGAAGCAACGCGAAGAACCUUACCAGGUCUUGACAUCCUCUGACAAUCCUAGAGAUAGGACUUUCCCCUUCGGGGGACAGAGUGACAGGUGGUGCAUGGUUGUCGUCAGCUCGUGUCGUGAGAUGUUGGGUUAAGUCCCGCAACGAGCGCAACCCUUGAUCUUAGUUGCCAGCAUUCAGUUGGGCACUCUAAGGUGACUGCCGGUGACAAACCGGAGGAAGGUGGGGAUGACGUCAAAUCAUCAUGCCCCUUAUGACCUGGGCUACACACGUGCUACAAUGGAUGGUACAAAGGGCUGCAAGACCGCGAGGUUUAGCCAAUCCCAUAAAACCCAUUCUCAGUUCGGAUUGCAGG